GUAGGUGAACCUGCGGAAGGAUCAUUAACACGUAUCCAACGUAAACAACCCUGUGAACCUUGAACGUGCUCUCGUACACGCUCUAGCAGCAAUCCCUGGUAAAUCAUUGUUGACCAGCUAUUGAGUCUGGGACUUCUGCUAGCAUAAGUGCGGCCUGGCAUCCUAGCAAUCUGUCAGUGGUUGCGCAAGUCGCUGUAGGCCCACACGGCCGGCGACCGGGCUGUGCUUCGGCACCUAAUGACACCAGUUUUCUGACCCGGUGCGCUGUAACAACCGCACCACAAACUCGAACAACUGUUAACAAUGGAUAUCUUGGUUCUU
rnacentral:misc_RNA from 1 species